GAUGAACGCUGGCGGCGUGCCUAAUACAUGCAAGUCGAGCGAACAGACGAGGAGCUUGCUCCUCUGACGUUAGCGGCGGACGGGUGAGUAACACGUGGAUAACCUACCUAUAAGACUGGGAUAACUUCGGGAAACCGGAGCUAAUACCGGAUAACAUGUUGAACCGCAUGGUUUAACAGUGAAAGACGGUCUUGCUGUCACUUAUAGAUGGAUCCGCGCCGCAUUAGCUAGUUGGUAAGGUAACGGCUUACCAAGGCAACGAUGCGUAGCCGACCUGAGAGGGUGAUCGGCCACACUGGAACUGAGACACGGUCCAGACUCCUACAGGAGGCAGCAGUAGGGAAUCUUCCGCAAUGGGCGAAAGCCUGACGGAGCAACGCCGCGUGAGUGAAGAAGGUCUUCGGAUCGUAAAACUCUGUUAUUAGGGAAGAACAAAUGUGUAAGUAACUAUGCACGUCUUGACGGUACCUAAUCAGAAGGCCACGGCUAACUACGUG
rnacentral:rRNA from 1 species